rnacentral:rRNA from 1 species
AGAAGAGUUAUACGAAGGUAGAGCACUGAAUGGGUGAGGGCCGCACCUCGCGGUACCAAUCUCAAUCAAACUCCGAAUGUCGUAUAAUAUGCGCAGCAGUAAGACUAUGGGUGAUAAGGUCCAUGGUCAAAAGGGAAACAGCCCAGACCGCCAGUUAAGGUCCCAAAAUUAUGCUAAGUGGGAAAGGAGGUGGAGUCGCUUAAACAACUAGGAGGUUGGCUCAGAAGCAGCCAUCCUUUAAAGAGUGCGUAAUAGCUCACUAGUCGAGUGAUUCUGCGCCGAAAAUGUAUCGGGGCUAAGCAUAAUACCGAAGCUGCGGGAUUAGAUGAAGAAUCUAAUCGGUAGGGGAGCGUACUAAGUGCGUAGAAGGUUGACCGGAAGGGCAGCUGGAGCGCUUAGCAGUGAGUAUGCCGGUGUGAGUAGCGAUAAGAUGGGUGAGAAUCCCAUCCGUCGAAAGCCUAAGGUUUCCAGGGGUAAGGCUCGUCCUCCCUGGGUAAGUCGGGUCCUAAGGUGAGGCUGAGAAGCGUAGCUGAUGGACAUCAGGUUGAUAUUCCUGAACCACCAUAAAACUGAAGGAAUGACGGAGGAGGCUAAUCAGAGCUGAUUAAUGGAUUUCAGUUUAAGUACAAAGAGGGUUACGUAGGCAAAUCCGCGUAGCAAAACCUUGAAGUAUGACGACGUAAGUCUGGUGAAGCCACACUUCCAAGAAAAGUUUCUAGGUGUAUUUUAUGGUGCCCGUACCGUAAACGGACACACGUAGGCGAGGAGAGAAUCCAAAGACGAGCGAGAUAAUUCUUGUUAAGGAACUCUGCAAAAUUACUCUGUAACUUCGGAAUAAAGAGGGCUCCCGUGAGGGAGACGCAGAAAAUAGGCCCAAGCGACUGUUUAACAAAAACAUAGGUUUCUGCUAAAGCGUAAGCUGAUGUAUAGGAGCUGACGCCUGCCCAGUGCUGGAAGGUUAAGAGGAGAAGUUAGUCGCAAGGCGAAGCUUUGAAUUGAAGCCCCAGUAAACGGCGGCCGUAACUAUAACGGUCCUAAGGUAGCGAAAUUCCUUGUCAGGUAAGUUCUGACCCGCACGAAAGGCGUAACGAUUUGGGCGCUGUCUCAACAAGAAACUCGGUGAAAUCAUAGUACCUGUGAAGAUGCAGGUUACCCGCGAUCAGACGGAAAGACCCCAUGGAGCUUCACUGCAACUUAAUAUUGAUAUUGGGUGUGUGAUGUACAGGAUAGGUGGGAGACAAAGAAGCGAGUACGCUAGUAUUCGUGGAGUCAACCUUGGGAUACCACCCCUCGCACAUUUAGUAUCUAACUAGUUUCCAUAAGCUGGGAAUAGAACAGUGUUAGGUGGGCAGUUUGACUGGGGCGGUCGCCUCCCAAAGAGUAACGGAGGCGCCCAAAGGUUCCCUCAGAAUGGUUGGAAAUCAUUCGUAGAGUGUAAAGGCAGAAGGGAGCUUGACUGCGAGACGGACAGGUCGAGCAGGAACGAAAGUUGGGCUUAGUGAACCGGCUGUGCUGAAUGGAAAGGCAGUCGAUCAACGGACAAAAGCUACCCUGGGGAUAACAGGCUGAUCUCCCCCAAGAG